rnacentral:lncRNA from 1 species
UACCAUUCUUAGCACAUACAUAUUGUGCAUGUCGGCAAUAUGUGUUUAAUAAUUUAAUAAUGCCUCUAUUAAUGAUUGGUCCAGAGUCUGAUAUCUCUCAUGUAAAAGCAAGGCUGUGAACAUUCUCAUGCAUAUAUCUGUUGGUUUGUCUUCUUUGUUUGGAUCCAUUUCUGCCGGCAGAGUUCCUGAGCCAAAAGUUAGCUGACAUGUGAACUCUGAUUCCUACGACCAGAGGUCUAUGACCCAACAGCGCCAUAAGAAGAGCAUGGUACGCUGUUCCCAGGCAGAGAGGGGCUUUGAGUCAAAAGACGACAGGACUGAGGCGGCUCUUCUGGCUCAUGGCCCUUCUUCCGCACGCUCGCAGACAUCUAAACCUAGGCUGCCUCUCCAGCCAGCUUCUCUGAGACUUGUCACCACCACGAGCCACCCUGCUCCUCUCAGGUUCCCACAGAUUUCGUAAUUAUUGAGAAAAGACUCCCGAGAGGCUUUGAGGCAUGGACGUCUCAGCCCAGGCUGCCUCUGCUCUGCCUUGGCCAGUUGCAGGCAAGCAAGCGGUUUUCCGAAGCCCCUUGCAUGAUGGGCAGACUCUUUACCAACUGAGCCAGAGCGAAGCCUACGGCAAAGGAGCAGCGUGGUGGUUCAAGGCGCAAACCUUUACGUUCCAGGAAACCCUGUUACCUGGAGCUGACGUGUGUGCGUGCCAAGUCGCUUCAAUCGUGUCUGACUCUCAGCGACCCUAUGGACUGCGGUCCGCCAGGCUCCUCUGUCCAUGGGACUCUUCAGGCAAGACUAUUGGAGUGGCGUGCCAUGCCUCCUCCAGGGGAUCUCCCUGACCCAGAGACUGAACCCAGGUCUCUUAUGUCUCCCGCGCUGGCAGGCGGGUUCUUGACCACUAGUGCCACCUGGGAAGCCCAGGUGAGGCCAGGCUCAUCUCUCAGCCUCUCCCAGUCCGGUAUUCCUCGCUCUUCCAAUGGGGAUGAUUUGGAUGGUAAGAAAAGCAAGGCUAUACCUCGUGAGCGGUAAUGAAACGGAAAUAGGGUGAAUUCUCUGAAAAUACUUUUUAAAGCUUUAUAGAGCUUUUUGUAUGUCAGUUGUUAUUAUUACAGCACGUCCCCAAGUUGAUUUCCCAUGAGAAACAGAGUGAGCUCUGGAGCCAGAUGCCAUCUACAGUGUCUACUUCACAGGGUUAUUGUUGGGAUUAAAUAAGUGAAUACGUGCAAAUUCCUUAAGACAGGACCUGGCGUAUGAUGGAUGCUCGAUAAGUGCGAACACAAAUCCCUUCUCCUUUGAAGCUCUUUAUUCUUUUUUUGUUUGUUUGUUUUUAAUUGGAAUAGAGCUGUUUUACAGCAAGGUGUUAGUUUCUGUGUAAAACAAUGUGAUUCAGCCAUACAUGUGUGUAC